AUGACGGUGUUCCUGCAUUUCAGUCACAGGGCAUUCGAGGGUUCAGUCUCUUUUGUUUUUCAUACAGACCUGAAGAUGAGAGUGGCAGAGACUACAGGGAGAGGGACCGGGACUAUGAAAGGGAGCAGGAGCGCAUACUCAGAGAGAGAGAGAGAGGAGCGCCGCAGGCAGAAGGAGCGCUAUGAGAAAGAGAAGGCUUAUAAAAGAAAAGAAGAAGAAAUUAAAAAAGAGAAAGAAGCACUUCGGGAUAAAGGAAAGAAGAAUGAAAGUACAGAAUCAAUAGGCACUGCAGAAAAAACUGAAAAGAAAGAGGAAGUGGUUAAGAGAGAUCGCAUAAGAAACAAGGACCGCCCGGCAAUGCAGCUUUACCAACCAGGAGCUCGAAGCCGAAAUCGACUGUGUGCCCCUGAUGACAGCACCAAGUCUGGAGAUUCUGCAGUAGAAAAAAAGCAGGAAAGUGGUAUUAGCCAUAGAAAAGAAGGAGGAGAGGAGUGAUAGAUUAGAAUGGCUGUAGGUGUCCUGACUGUCUAGGCAGCCAAAGAGCACGUAUUACGCACUCCAGAAGUGCCUUCAGGGCAAAGGAAUAAAGAAAGAGAAAGGGUCGCUGUACCGGUGGGAUACACUGCAGAGGAGUAUGUUUUGUGUCAAAGCGGGAAUUUAAUUGCAAGCUCAGAAUUGGAAGUACAAUUUCAUUGUUUUUGCAGUUUCUCCAAAUUAAUUUUACAGUGUCAGAAAAAGAUGAUGGCGAGGAUAUGCACUGCCAUUUGCAGGCAGGAAAUGUCAAGUGAGGACUUAAUUUUGUAUGACUAGAAAAAAGGCUGGCUCUAAAAAUCAAAAGGUGUUAUUAAUCCUGGAUUGAAUAUUCUUGGUUUGGGUGGAGCAGAGUCACUUUGAAGUCUUGUUAUUUUGCAUUGUUAGUGAUAACUGUUGACUUUGUGUAGUGUAGAAGCAAUAAGCAUGUAAUUUUGUUACAAGUAUAGUGAAAGGUAUAACAGAUUUUCGCUGAUGCGGAAAUUUAAAUAGUCAUGUUAUGUCUAUAUCCCGUGUCCCAAAAUUUUAGGAUUAGUUUUAUCCUUUUGUUUGCUUACAUGAGCUUAGCAUCAGUAAUAUUUUUAAACCGCUCAUUUUGCCUUUAGCAUUUUUUCUACUAAUAUGUAAAACGUAGUCCCUAUUUGGUUCUUGACAAUCCAGUCCUUGUUUUUAUCUUAAGUCUCAUGAUCUGAGAUGAGUGCAUACUCUCUCCAGGAAGGAAACUGCACCGAUAUCUGUUCCUCUAAAAUAACGGCUUUAGUCUUCACUUGUUUUGUAUUGUUGUCAAUAAAUACCAAUAGCACUGAAGUAUGAAGCUAAGUGUGUUUAUAUCUGUGUGGUUCUGGGGAUCAAACUCAGGAUCACGUGGAUGCUAAGAAUGCCCUGUACCACUUAUCUGCAUCCCCAGCUCC
rnacentral:lncRNA from 1 species